rnacentral:rRNA from 1 species
AUGAACGCUGGCGGCGUGCCUAAUACAUGCAAGUCGAGCGAACGGACGAGAAGCUUGCUUUUCUGAUGUUAGCGGCGGACGGGUGAGUAACACGUGGAUAACCUACCUAUAAGACUGGGAUAACUUCGGGAAACCGGAGCUAAUACCGGAUAAUAUUUUGAACCGCAUGGUUCAAAAGUGAAAGACGGUCUUGCAGUCACUUAUAGAUGGAUCCGCGCUGCAUUAGCUAGUUGGUAAGGUAACGGCUUACCAAGGCAACGAUGCAUAGCCGACCUGAGAGGGUGAUCGGCCACACUGGAACUGAGACACGGUCCAGACUCCUACGGGAGGCAGCAGUAGGGAAUCUUCCGCAAUGGGCGAAAGCCUGACGGAGCAACGCCGCGUGAGUGAUGAAGGUCUUCGGAUCGUAAAACUCUGUUAUUAGGGAAGAACAUAUGUGUAAGUAACUGUGCACAUCUUGACGGUACCUAAUCAGAAAGCCACGGCUAACUACGUG